rnacentral:rRNA from 1 species
UGGGGAAUAUUGCACAAUGGGCGAAAGCCUGAUGCAGCAACGCCGCGUGAGCGAUGAAGGCCUUUGGGUCGUAAAGCUCUGUCCUUGGGGAAGAAAAAAAUGACGGUACCCUUGGAGGAAGCCCCGGCUAACUACGUGCCAGCAGCCGCGGUAAUACGUAGGGGGCAAGCGUUAUCCGGAAUUAUUGGGCGUAAAGAGUGCGUAGGUGGUUUUGUAAGCGCGGGGUGAAAGGCUAUGGCUCAACCAUAGUAAGCCUUGCGAACUGUAAGACUUGAGUGCAGGAGAGGAAAGUGGAAUUCCUAGUGUAGCGGUGAAAUGCGUAGAUAUUAGGAGGAACACCAGUGGCGAAGGCGACUUUCUGGACUGUAACUGACACUGAGGCACGAAAGCGUGGGGAGCAAACA